rnacentral:rRNA from 1 species
CAGUAGCCGCGGUAAUACGGAGGAUCCGAGCGUUAUCCGGAAUUAUUGGGUUUAAAGGGUGCGUAGGCGGAUAGAUAAGUCAGUGGUGAAAGACGGUGGCUCAACCAUCGCAGUGCCGUUGAUACUGUUUAUCUUGAAUAUGGAUGAGGUAGGCGGAAUGUGGCAAGUAGCGGUGAAAUGCAUAGAUAUGCCACAGAACACCGAUUGCGAAGGCAGCUUACCAAGGCAAAAUUGACGCUGAGGCACGAAAGCGUGGGGAUCGAACAGGAUUAGAUACCCCGGUAGUCCCUGUCUCUUAUAA